rnacentral:rRNA from 1 species
ACACGGAGGGCGCAAGCGUUGCUCGGAAUCACUGGGCGUAAAGGACGCGUAGGCGGGUUGGCAAGUCAGAUGUGAAAUCCUACAGCUUAACUGUAGAACUGCAUUUGAAACUGCUAACCUAGAGUAUGGGAGGGGGAGAUGGAAUUAGUGGUGUAGGGGUAAAAUCCGUAGAUAUCACUAGGAAUACCGAAAGCGAAGGCGAUCUCCUGGAACAUAACUGACGCUAAGGCGUGAAAGCGUGGGGAGCAAACAGGAUUAGAAACCCUAGUAGUCC